rnacentral:rRNA from 1 species
AAUAGAUACCCGGGUAGUCUUGGCCAUAAACGAUGUUCACUAGGUGUCGGGGCGUAAGCUUCGGUGCCGCAGCUAACGCAUUAAGUGAACCGCCUGGGGACUACGGCCGCAAGGUUGAAACUCAAAGGAAUCGGCGGGGGCCCGCACAAGCGGUGGAGCAUGUGGCUUAAUUCGAUGCAACGCGAAGAACCUUACCAGGGCUUGACAUGGAGCUGCAAGCUCGUGAAAGCGAGUCGCUUUCGAAGGUGCUUCACAGGUGGUGCAUGGCUGUCGUCAGCUCGUGUUGUGAAAUGUUGGGUUAAGUCCCGCAACGAGCGCAACCCUCAUGUUUUGUUGCCAGCGGUUAAAGCCGGGUACUCGAAACAAACUGCCGCUGUAAAGCGGAGGAAGGUGGGGAUGACGUCAAGUCAUCAUGCCCCUUACGCCCUGGGCUGCACACAUGCUACAAUGGCCGGUACAAAGAGCUGCAAGAGCGCAAGCUGGAGCCAAUCUCAAAAAGCCGGUCUCAGUUCGGAUUGGA